rnacentral:rRNA from 1 species
AUAUCAAUAAGCGGAGGAAAAGAAACCAACAGGGAUUGCCUCAGUAACGGCGAGUGAAGCGGCAACAGCUCAAAUUUGAAAUCUGGCGCAAGCCCGAAUUGUAAUUUGCAGAGGAUGCUUUGGAGUCGUGCCUGGUCUAAGUUCCUUGGAACAGGACGUCGCAGAGGGUGAGAAUCCCGUACGCGGCCGGGUGCCUAUCCGUGUAAAGCUCCUUCGACGAGUCGAGUUGUUUGGGAAUGCAGCUCUAAAUGGGAGGUAAAUUUCUUCUAAAGCUAAAUACCGGCCAGAGACCGAUAGCGCACAAGUAGAGUGAUCGAAAGAUGAAAAGCACUUUGAAAAGAGAGUUAAAAAGUACGUGAAAUUGUUGAAAGGGAAGCGUUUGCAGCCAGACUUGACGACGUUGCUCAGCCGGUCUUUGCCCGGUGCACUCUUCGUUCGUCGGGCCAGCAUCAGUUUGGGGGGUCGGAUAAAGGCUUUGGGAACGUGGCUCCUCGGAGUGUUAUAGCCCUUUGCACAAUGCGGCCUCCCCAGACUGAGGAUAGCGUUCGCUAGGAUGCUGGCGUAAUGGCGGCCAACGG